AUUGAACGCUGGCGGCAGGCCUAACACAUGCAAGUCGAGCGGAUGAAGGGAGCUUGCUCCUGGAUUCAGCGGCGGACGGGUGAAUAAUGCCUAGGAAUCUGCCUGGUAGUGGGGGAUAACGUCCGGAAACGGGCGCUAAUACCGCAUACGUCCUGAGGGAGAAAGUGGGGGAUCUUCGGACCUCACGCUAUCAGAUGAGCCUAGGUCGGAUUAGCUAGUUGGUGGGGUAAAGGCCUACCAAGGCGACGAUCCGUAACUGGUCUGAGAGGAUGAUCAGUCACACUGGAACUGAGACACGGUCCAGACUCCUACGGAAGGCAGCAGUGGGGAAUAUUGGACAAUGGGCGAAAGCCUGAUCCAGCCAUGCCGCGUGUGUGAAGAAGGUCUUCGGAUUGUAAAGCACUUUAAGUUGGGAGGAAGGGCAGUAAGUUAAUACCUUGCUGUUUUGACGUUACCAACAGAAUAAGCACCGGCUAACUUCGUG
rnacentral:rRNA from 1 species